rnacentral:rRNA from 1 species
GACGGGGGGGGCAAGUGUUCUUCGGAAUGACUGGGCGUAAAGGGCGCGUAGGCGGCCUGGCAAGUGGAUGGUGAAAUCCCUCGGCUUAACCGAGGAACUGCCAUCCAGACUGCUUGGCUUGAGACCGGGAGAGGUGAGUGGAAUUCCCAGUGUAGCGGUGAAAUGCGUAGAUAUUGGGAGGAACACCAGUGGCGAAGGCGGCUCACUGGACCGGUACUGACGCUGAGGCGCGAAAGCGUGGGGAGCAAACGGG